CCUGGGCUCAGAUUCUGAGUUAAUUCAUCAGGCUGUGUGCUGGCCUGUCUCCAGGAUGGCCCCCAUGGAGCCCUGCCUCCUGCACUCAUGCUCUUGUGUAGCUGCUUCUGUAUCAUUUCAGGUUGGUUCUACCUGACCAGGGGACCUGGCAAAAAUGAUGCUUUGUCAGCUCUGAGACUAGGUCAUAGACAACUUCGUGGCUUCCCUCUUGCUUGCUUGCUCUUGGAUCACUGACUCUGGGGAAAGCUAGCUGUCAUGUCCUGAGGACAUCUAAGCAUGCACAGGUCCACGUGAUGAGAAACUGAGGCCUCUAGCCACCAGCCAGUGUCAAAGAGGGAUCUCAGAAGCAUGUCCUCCAGCCUCAUCACAUCUCCAGAUGACAGCCCCAGGCGAUACCUUGAUCGAAGCCUCCUGAGAGACCCGGGGUCAGACCCGCCAGCAAAACCUCCAAAUUCCUGAGCCUCAGAAACUGAGCGGAUAAAGGGGCAUUGCCAUGGGAAUGGGGCCUGUCAGUGGAUUCUCUGGGCUCUGGUCCUAGUCUUUACCCCAUAUUCAACUGGAUGGCAAGAAGUAGUCUGCUCAGAAGUCUCACUGAGUACAUCUUCCUCAUCUCCUAAGAGCUUGGGUGAAGUGUCAGUGCCUAGGAUUUCAGUUUCACUAGGACUUUUGGAUGAGAGUCUGAUUCCAUCAGUAGGAGAUACCUACGAGAGACUUGCAUUUGAACUGAGUUGUUUAGAGAGAAAAGAAGGGUGUGGGGUAUUCAUCCGGCAGACUUGGAUCUUGUCAGCACCAGCAAGUUCUAGAAUCAACAUCUAUGGUGGCUGCUUCUCAUUAGGCAGAUGGAUUCCUAUGCUGGCAGCUUCCUGAGAUGGCAGAGAGUUGUUGUUCUGAAGGGGCAGCUGUGGUAGCAGCUCCUGAUUCUGCAGCUGCCUCUUGUGCGUGCAUCAGGUGCCUUAACUGUUUAAUUCUGG
rnacentral:lncRNA from 1 species